rnacentral:rRNA from 1 species
AACGAACGCUGGCGGCAGGCUUAACACAUGCAAGUCGAGCGCCCCGCAAGGGGAGCGGCAGACGGGUGAGUAACACGUGGGGAUCUGCCCGAUGGUACGGAAUAACUCAGGGAAACUUGUGCUAAUACCGUAUGUGCCCGCAAGGGGAAAGAUUUAUCGCCAUCGGAUGAACCCGCGUCGGAUUAGCUAGUUGGUGUGGUAAAGGCGCACCAAGGCGACGAUCCGUAGCUGGUCUGAGAGGAUGAUCAGCCACACUGGGACUGAGACACGGCCCAGACUCCUACGGGAGGCAGCAGUGGGGAAUAUUGGACAAUGGGCGCAAGCCUGAUCCAGCCAUGCCGCGUGAGUGAUGAAGGCCUUAGGGUUGUAAAGCUCUUUCGCCGACGAAGAUAAUGACGGUAGUCGGAGAAGAAGCCCCGGCUAACUUCGUGCCAGCCGCCGCCGUAAGAC